AGCGAACGCUGGCGGCAGGCCUAACACAUGCAAGUCGAACGAACUCUUCGGAGUUAGUGGCGGACGGGUGAGUAACACGUGGGAACGUGCCUUUUGGUUCGGAAUAACUCAGGGAAACUUGUGCUAAUACCGAAUGUGCCCUUCGGGGGAAAGAUUUAUCGCCAUUAGAGCGGCCCGCGUCUGAUUAGCUAGUUGGUGAGGUAACGGCUCACCAAGGCGACGAUCAGUAGCUGGUCUGAGAGGAUGACCAGCCACACUGGGACUGAGACACGGCCCAGACUCGUACGGGAGGCAGCAGUGGGGAAUCUUGCGCAAUGGGCGAAAGCCUGACGCAGCCAUGCCGCGUGAAUGAUGAAGGUCUUAGGAUUGUAAAAUUCUUUCACCGGGGACGAUAAUGACGGUACCCGGAGAAGAAGCCCCGGCUAACUUCGUG
rnacentral:rRNA from 1 species